AUCGUUGCCCGAUGCCUAUUGCAGUGCAAUAGGAAUUUCUAGGGCGAAUGAUGGCUUCCCGUGAGCGUUGUUGCCUCGCGGUUGGUUGAAAAUCGAGUCCUUGGUGGGGUGUGCCACGAUAGAUGGUGGUCGAGUUUGCACGAUACCGUUCGUGUGCAUGCUCCCCAAAAUAUGGCCUCUAUGACCCACACGCGUCUUUUGACGCACA
rnacentral:misc_RNA from 1 species